rnacentral:rRNA from 1 species
UACAGAGGUCCCAAGCGUUGUUCGGAAUUACUGGGCGUAAAGGGCGCGUAGGUGGCCUUCUAAGUUGAACGUGAAAUCCCUGGGCUCAACCCAGGAACUGCGUCCAAGACUGGGAGGCUUGAAUCCGGGAGAGGGAUGCGGAAUUCCAGGUGUAGCGGUGAAAUGCGUAGAUAUCUGGAGGAACACCGGUGGCGAAGGCGGCAUCCUGGACCGGUAUUGACACUGAGGCGCGAAAGCCAGGGGAGCAAACGGG